GUCGCUUUGGUGUAGCUGGUUAUCACGUGAGUCUAACAGUUCUACUGUAUCACACUCAAGGUCGCCAGUUCGAACCUGGCAGGCGAUA